GGGUAUAAGCUAGCUGGAGAGCGCCUGCUUUGCACGCAGGAGGUCUGCGGUUCGAUCCGCAUAGCUCCACCA
rnacentral:tRNA from 1 species